UCUGACUGCCGGACCGGUGCGUGACGAAUACGAGGGGUGCAAACAGUGCGCGGAAUAAGUGAGAGUAAAGCGAACGUAUUAGGCUUAGCAAGAACCAGAGGAAAUCCCACGGCUUAACCGUGGAAGGGCAUGGUAAACGGCUGAGCUUGAGUACUUAAGAGGAUCGCGGGAUUCCCGGUGUAGAGGUGAAAUUCGUAGAUAUCGGGAGGAACACCAGUGGCGAAGGCGGCGAUCUGGGAAGAUACUGACGCUGAGGUGCGAAAGCGUGGGGAGCAAACAGGAUUAGAUACCCGUGUAGUC
rnacentral:rRNA from 1 species